GGCUAAUCCUGGUCGGACAUCAGGAGGUUAGUGCAAUGGCAUAAGCCAGCUUGACUGCGAGCGUGACGGCGCGAGCAGGUGCGAAAGCAGGUCAUAGUGAUCCGGUGGUUCUGAAUGGAAGGGCCAUCGCUCAACGGAUAAAAGGUACUCCGGGGAUAACAGGCUGAUACCGCCCAAGAGUUCAUAUCGACGGCGGUGUUUGGCACCUCGAUGUCGGCUCAUCACAUCCUGGGGCUGAAGUAGGUCCCAAGGGUAUGGCUGUUCGCCAUUUAAAGUGGUACGCGAGCUGGGUUUAGAACGUCGUGAGACAGUUCGGUCCCUAUCUGCCGUGGGCGCUGGAGAACUGAGGGGGGCUGCUCCUAGUACGAGAGGACCGGAGUGGACGCAUCACUGGUGUUCGGGUUGUCAUGCCAAUGGCA
rnacentral:rRNA from 1 species